rnacentral:rRNA from 1 species
GACGAACGCUGGCGGCGUGCUUAACACAUGUCAGUCGAACGGAAAGGCCCUGCUUGCAGGGUACUCGAGUGGUGAACGGGUGAGUAACACGUGGGUGAUCUGCCCUGCACUUCGGGAUAAGCCUGGGAAACUGGGUCUAAUACCGGAUAGGAGCCAUUUUUAGUGUGAUGGUUGGAAAGUUUUUUCGGUGUAGGAUGAGCUCGCGGCCUAUCAGCUUGUUGGUGGGGUAAUGGCCUACCAAGGCGGCGACGGGUAGCCGGCCUGAGAGGGUGGACGGCCACAUUGGGACUGAGAUACGGCCCAGACUCCUACGGGAGGCAGCAGUGGGGAAUAUUGCACAAUGGGCGCAAGCCUGAUGCAGCGACGCCGCGUGGGGGAUGACGGCCUUCGGGUUGUAAACUCCUUUCGCUAGGGACGAAGCUUUUUGUGACGGUACCUAGAUAAGAAGCACCGGCUAACUACGUG